rnacentral:rRNA from 1 species
GAUGAACGCUGGCGGCGUGCUUAACACAUGCAAGUCGAACGAGAAUCAACGGAUUGAGGAUUCGUCCAAAUGAAGUUGAGGAAAGUGGCGGACGGGUGAGUAACGCGUGAGGAACCUGCCUCGGAGUGGGGAAUAACAGUUGGAAACAGCUGCUAAUACCGCAUAAUGCAACGGAAUCGCAUGACUCUGUUGCCAAAGAUUUAUCGCUCUGAGAUGGCCUCGCGUCUGAUUAGCUAGUUGGCGGGGUAACGGCCCACCAAGGCGACGAUCAGUAGCCGACCUGAGAGGGUGACCGGCCACAUUGGGACUGAGACACGGCCCAA